rnacentral:lncRNA from 1 species
ACGAACAUCGAAAGAUGAUGUUUACAGACAUCAAAGAAAACCAGACACUUACGCAUGACUGGGAAAGCACCGAAAAAUGGUGUUUACCGACACCAAAGAAGACCAGACACUUACGCAUGACUGGGAAAAAGAUGAUGUUUACAGACAUCAAAGAAAACCAGACACUUACGCAUGACUGGGAAAGCACCGAAAAAUGGUGUUUACCGACACCAAAGAAGACCAGACACUUACGCAU